rnacentral:rRNA from 1 species
UUAGUGGCGGACGGGUGAGUAACGCGUGGGUAACCUGCCUUGCACUGGGGGAUAACACUUAGAAAUAGGUGCUAAUACCGCAUAAGCGCACGGUCCUGCAUGGGACAGUGUGAAAAACUCCGGUGGUGCAAGAUGGACCCGCGUCUGAUUAGCUGGUUGGCGGGGUAAAGGCCCACCAAGGCGACGAUCAGUAGCCGGCCUGAGAGGGUGGACGGCCACAUCGGGACUGAGACACGGCCCAAACUCCUACGGGAGGCAGCAG